AGGUCUGUCGCCAAGCGGUAAGGCAACGGGUUUUGAUCCCGUCAUACCUAGGUUCGAGAAUCCAUGUAGACCUGCCA
rnacentral:tRNA from 1 species